GGAGCCUCCUGCACCUGCUCUCCAGCUUCUCACCCAGCCAGGACGUCUACCUGGGGCGGCCCAGCCUGGACCACCCCAUUGAGGCCACCGAGAGGGUCCAGGGUGGCAGAACUGUGAGUGUCGGAGCAGACGCCAUCGGAGCAGACGCCUUCCUUGACACCAGCCCGGGAGGCACAGCAGAGGGCGUGGAAAGCUGGCUUGAGAAGGGCAUAGGGUUGGGGGCCCAAGCUGAUCCACCCAGGUGGUUUGCAUGUGGUGUUUCAGGAGCAGGCCAGGAGGCCCUCACCGUACUGGGCAGAGAGGGGGUGUCUGGGCCAGGUGGGGAGGGUCUGGAGGCUACGGGUCAAUGGCCUGCAGAAGCCCCCGGCUCUUUUUGCUCCAAGAAGCUUCUGUUACCUGGGUGGGAUCUCCUAAGGGGCAGCUUAAGAAAGAUGCCUGGGGAGUCCCAUGAAGAGUCAGGGGUGAGAAGCCCUGUCCUGGGCAGCUCUGACCACCACCCCAUCUUCAGGUGACCACGGUCAAGUUCUGGUUUGCUACUGGUGGGGCCGGGUUCUGCCUCAGCAGAGGCCUUGCCCUCAAGAUGAGCCCAUGGGCCAGCCUGGGCAGCUUCAUGAGCACAGCUGAGCAGGUGCGGCUGCCGGAUGACUGCACAGUUGGCUACAUCGUGGAGGGGCUCCUGGGCGCCCGCCUGCUGCACAGCCCCCUCUUCCACUCUCACCUGGAGAACCUGCAGAGGCUGCCGCCCGACACCCUGCUCCAGCAGGUUACCUUGAGCCAUGGGGGUCCUGAGAACCCACAUAACGUGGUGAACGUGGCUGGAGGCUUCAGCCUGCAUCAAGACCCCACACGGUUUAAGUCUAUCCAUUGUCUUCUGUACCCAGACACGGACUGGUGUCCCAGGCAGAAACAGGGCGCCCCGACCUCUCGGUGACACCAACCACCCCGACCCAGGGCUGCCUGGCUCUGUCCCAGGCGCGGGGAACCAGAGCCCCCUAUGGGCUCAGUGGGCUCCCUCAGGUGCCACGGCCACACCAGUGAGAUGCAGGCACCUGGCAGACCCUCUGGCUAGCCUGCAGCCCCCCCUCUCCCAGCCCCUGGUGGGCUGCGGUGAUGGGUGUUUUGGGAGAACGAAGACAGCCAGGCUGAUGGCCAGGGCCGCAGUGCCCCUCCCCCCGACCCAGCCCCAAGGUUGAUCCCACGGGAACAGGCUUCCACCCCAGCACUUGCGCACCUGGGAGGGAGCUGCCAUCCGGGCUCCAUUACCUGUUGCUGAAGGCGGGUGCUAGGCUGGCUGGGUGUCAAGGAGCAGGCUCCAGGCCAAGGUCCUGGCCCAGCCACGGCCAUUGCAAGGGCUCAGCCUGGCAGGCUUUGUGGGGGACGCCGCCCUCUCUGCCGCAGGCUGGGUGCACGGCCGGGCACCACAGUGGGACUCAGGCCCGGGAAGGUCAUGUUCUCGACCAGAGCUUUGCUCCCAGUCCAGGCGCCUCAUUCGGAGGCCUCUUGACUGGGACCACAGAGAUGUUUUCUCCGCUCUGACUUGUGGCUCAGGACUACUUUCUGGGUCGUGCUCCUGCCCCACUGUGCCUGGGCCCAUAAACAACAGGAGCCUUUUGUUCCGCUGACCUGCCCAUCCCAGCAGACCCACCUCCCCGCCUGGUGCCUUCCAUGGAGGGAAAUGGGACAGGGGCCGUCAUCUCCCCUCUGCCUCCUGCUUUGCUGUUGCCGAGCACGAGUAAAGCUUUUGUUCUUACUUCA
rnacentral:lncRNA from 1 species